UAAGGACCAGGUUCGCCAGAAACACGAAGCUUGCAGCGUUGUGCAUCUCAAAUGUGUUCUAUAUUCAGGAUGGGAUAAUUAUAUAUAUAUAUGGAACCCAUUAAGUGGAAGUUACCUUUGAAAUCAAUAUUAUCCGUUCGAUCAUGCUGAGAUGAAAUCUCAGCCGUUUAAACUCCCAAAAAUAACCGCUAUGAUGGCGGUUUUUUUUACAGUUACUUGCAGUUUCACAGUUCCACACUCUCUCUCCCAUAAACCUGCAGUUAGCGACGGUUCUAGCUUUUCACCUAAAUUUCCGUUCUCUCUUCCCCACGUCGCCACAACUCCCCUAAAUUCCACGUUCUCCACCUACCCACAUUAUUCGCUGGUAACCUCCCAUGUUUCGGUAAACAAAUACCCUCUUCUCGCAUCUUUCCACUCUCCAGCCACCAAUCUUCGUCUUCAUCGUAUCUCUCUGUAGUAUCAGCCUCUCUCUCAAGACUUUACUAUGCUCUGCUGUGAAGCUUUUACGCAAGGGAAAGAAAGAUACAACAAUAGGAGAGGUAUGAUUAUAUCAUCUUUCAUAGUUUCACUACAAUAGAUGAAAUUAUAAUAUUUGCUUCUACAUAUAUCUAUUUCCUAAUCAAAACCAGUUGUUCACUGUUGAACAAGUUUUAUAUUGAUAUAUGCAAAUCAACAUUGAUACCACUGGAACUUUCUUGCAUGUGUAGAGUGCUCGGUGAUCAGGGCCAGAGAUGAUAAAUUAAAGGAGUAACUUUGCAGCUGAUGAUUGAGAAGAUAUGGCUAUGCUUCACAUAAUAAAUAGAAAAUAAUAUUAUUGCUGUACUUUGACCCUGUUGGUGCACACCCUACUGGUGAGAUUGGUGAACACUCACGUGGGGGUCCCCAACACUCAUAUGUUUUUUCAGUAAGUUGCCAUUGGGAGCCUACCUGAACUUAAGAGUUUUUGGAACUGACUACUUAACUAAAGAUGGAACAAGGGUACAGGAUUAUAUCCAUGUACAUUUAGCUGACGGAUACGCUGCUGCAUUGAAAAAGCUCUCUGUCCCAAAAAUAGGUGUGUCUAUGUAUUUUUUUCCUACUAAUUACAGUUUAAAGAAAUAUGCAAAAUUGAUACAUAGGGUUGUUUCAUUUGUGUCAAGCUGCUGCUGUAUUUGGAGGGAAGAGUUUGGCAACCCAAAUAUCUGAGAGAUUUGCAUAUGAGGUUUAUGUUUUUAUAAGACUUGUCUACAUAUUUAUUAAAAAUUUGAAUUAAAUGUUUAUUAAUUAAUCUGAUAUAGAUUGCAGGCGCUAUUUUUUUCAUUAUCUUUGUAAUCCAGUCAUUCUUUUCAACAAUAGAAUCAUAAGUAUGGAUACUAGAUACUACAAAGAGUGUAACCUUGAAAUGUUGAGGGGAAUAUCAUUUGUGUUUAACAAAAAUGUUGUGGUGACUGGAUUCUUUUCCAUCUCAGCAAUCCGUGAUCCGAUUGACCUAGGAUGCAGGCUCACACCAUAAUCUACAAAUAACCAGAGUGGCCUUUGAAUUGUGUUCCGGAACUUACUGCUUCAUCAAACCAAUAAAUUUUAAAGUGCUCGGAGAGGGUAUAGAGGUUGCUUCUUGAGCGCCCAGUUGGAGAUUUAGAAGUUGUUGCCUGCUGAAACAUGGGAUCUUGGAUAGAGCUUGUAACUACUCUAUACAUAUCACCACUAUAUGCUAAAAUAAUGUUUUGGCCUCUUGCACUACCAUAAAAAAGUCACUUCAAAGCUGCAGCAAAAAUGAGAGCUAUGAAGCUUGAAAAUGGUAUUUACCUUAAUGUGGUCUCGGAUUUUACAAAAACUAUUCUUUCUCUUUUGUCAACAUACUUCAUCUUUUAGACAGUGCAGUGCACUUUUUUACUGAAAGGAGA